UCCGCAGUGACGACAUGCUUGAUCACGAAGCCGCCCCGGCAGACCAAAGGUCACCCGGUCCCUGCAGCUUCGCUCUUGUCAGACUACCCCGGGUCUCCCUACUCAUAAAAAGAGCGUGGGCUGUGUCGUCGAAACACUCAGCAGAAGAUGCUGAGUUAUUCUGGAAAGCCUUGGGAAGAGGAACGGAGGCAACUGACAGGGUCCUCGAGUCCACAAACACGCCGUCUUUCUCUUCCCAGUUGUGCUAGGCCCUAGGGGUCUGUGAAUUCGGAAGGCCCUCAGUGGCGGUUUUUACGUUUGUUUUCCAUUUCCCUAUUAAAGAAUUUCGUAACAA